GUUGAAAUAUUAGCAAGUAACAAAGUAACAAUGAUUUUAGUUCCCUCCCAAACCCUCUGGAUUUCUUCCGCCUAAACCUAUCCCCAAAUUUAAAACUUGCAACACCAAAUUUCUUUUCCACCCUAAUUUUGUAGUGCCUCCAGGUUUCUACAAAAAAUAACAAUAUCAUAUUAAAGCCAAACCUUUUCUAUGCCAUAACCCAUUACAAGCUUUUCAUCACACAUCGAUGAUGAAGACGGCGAUCGUUGACGGAAACUAUUUAGAGGUCAAAUACACAGUUGAUUUAGAGAUCUAUGAUGGAUGUAAACGACAAGUUGAUUCAGAAAUCGUAAGUGCGUCUUUUUCUGAAGGUUAUCUCGGAUUGCUUUCUAAUCAAGUAUGGUAUGUCAAUUUCCGGGUUUUGACUACUUGUUAUGUUUAGAUCGGUUGGUGUCAUUGUCAAUAUGUUUACAUUAAGGCCAGUUUUUCAACUCUUUAUUGGUACCUUGCAGUUAGGAGGGCAAAAACUUAAUUUUGUAAUGGAAUUAGGAAUUUCGAUUGAUUUUUAAGCAACUGAUAUAGAAACUGAUGAUUAUUUGAUUGAGUUACAUAUUAUUCACAUCACUUUUGCAACUAACUUUAUAUUAUUUGGGCAAAAUGGAUUCUUUAAUGACAUAAGCUUAGUGUAUGCCAUGUGUUUGAUGUUUUGCCAAAUGAAAACUGAUGAUUCAACAUGAUCAUACCAAUUUGACAUAUAAUAUUCACCAGUACCACUAGUUUAUAAAAAAAACGAUCUGAGUCUAGAGAAUACCGAAAAUCGAAUAUGGGUAGUUUACUCAUACUAAAGAGCAAGAUAAAUAUAAUUUGGAACAGUUAGGCUUCUUACUAUAAUUAUGUGGAUUUAAUUAUCUUUUUUCUUGUCAACUGUUAUCGUAAAACAUAGAUUCCAUAUAGUAAAGAGCUGCAUUAUAAGCUAUUUUCUAAAUCCAAAGCCACACAUUUAGUUUCUAAACUUCUAGUUUAAUUUAUAUCAAACAUUUGGUGAAGCAUUCUCCAUGUCAUAUGCUUAUGCUUCUACUAAGGUUGCUGUUACAGAGGUAACUAGGAAGGGAUGCCAGCAUGGGGACGUACACACUUAUUCUCGGAUGUGACUGGUCUUACAAAAUGCUUAUUUUUGGAAUUAAAAACAAAGAGAAAGAAGAGCGAGGUUGUAAAGACUCAGACAACGUUAGGGAAAGCCCUGGUGCAUUCGAUAGUUUGUACAGCGAACUACCAGAAAUCUUGUUUAUUCAAAGAUGUGAACUUCUAUGUCCUGAUAGACAAGGUGCUCCUACGGUUAGGGGUAUAGGCUGUGUUUAUCCUACUACUGAGAGGAUUAUGCAUAAUUGCCUGAUGAUAGAUGGUUUUGUCAAAGUUCAAGUAGAUAGAGUUGAAGAAGGUUGCGGAUUGAAUUGUCUCUUGCCUGAUUCAUGUAGUAGACUGUUUGGAAGAUGCAAAAGAAUGCUUUAUUUACUGGUCUGUUAAAUCAAUAAAGAGUUUAAACAAAGAUUCUCCUCAAAGUGUAGAACCAUCUCACCAUUCUAUGGAUGAAAGAAUCGGGUAUCAAAUAUACUCGUAUGCAUUACAAGAGGAGGAGGCUUUUAAUUGAUUGGUAAACACAUUAUUUGUAUAUAAUUAUGUGUGUUUACUAAUAGUGUCGUUAUUGGUUAAUGUAGCUCGCUGAUAAACAAUUUUCUCAGAAUACAACCAAGCAUGUUCCUUUUGCUGGAAAAUAAAACCUCAAUGGUUCGUCAAAGUGAAAUUGACGAGUUUGUAGAGUGUACUUUAAAGGCGUCUAUUUCAGUUUUGGUGGCGGGAAGGACGACAAGGAUGAAUGGAGUGGCAAAGGAAUUUAAGUCAGUGAGUGCUGUUGAGAGCUUUGUGGUUAUUGGGGUGGAUAAAGGAGGUUGCACAAAGUCAAGGAGUUUUUUGGAUGGUUGAUUUUAUUUGUGCUAAACUGAAUGAUAGGAUGUUUUUUCUAUGUUAAAUUGAAUGUUUUAGACUAAUGGGUUAACAUGGAUGCUUUAGCUAUUUAUAACAUGGUUCAUUGUUUGUUA